GGCCGGAGUGGAGGGGUGUGGCCAUGCAAAUAAGGAGCAGCGGGCGUAUCUGAUUGGCGGGUCUUUGCCGGCCUGGGAACGUGUGCCCAAUGGGCACUCAACCAGGCUCAGCGAGCGCCCGCCCGCCCGUCCUUCAGCACCGCGCAGGGCUCCGCCCUCUUCCGCUUCCCUGGCGGCGGCGGUUCCCAAGCCCGGAGUCACCGCGGCUCAGACUCCGCUGACGCUGUGCCCUGGAGGCCUCGCACCCCUCAGCAGGGCCUGCUGCCUUCAGACACCGCCCUGCCCACCAGGGCCAGCACCGUGGGCUGGCUGUCACUGAGGGCCUGGCACCUACAAGAUGCUUAACAAACCUUAGUUUGGUAGUCCACAAGGGAUUUUUUAAAUUAAUAAGACAAUCUCUGACUUUAUAAAGAGAUAGACAUGCAACAAGUAAAGAGGAUGCAGACCGUAGUGUU